UUCAGGUGGUGGCGUUCGGUUCUGGUGCACAAUGGUCUACUGCAAUGUCAUCGGUUGCUGCACCCUGGAGUCAUUUUUGUGACUGGCUUCGAGAUUGACGACCCACUUGUUAUUGGACACAAUAACGGCCCGCAGCGUGAUUUUACCCUAGAAAAAGGGCUCUUUACCAUUCGUUUCUCCACGCACGUCGAAAAAGUCCCACGUUGACUUUUCGAAGCUAAUUGGAGGUGCAAAGGCACCAAAACUGUCAGAAAG